AUUGAACGCUGGCGGCAGGCCUAACACAUGCAAGUCGAGCGAGCGGCGGACGGGUGAGUAAGGUAUGGGGAUCUGCGCGAAAGAGGGGGAUAACUACUGGAAACUGUGGCUAAUACCGCAUACUAUCGGAUGAACCCAUAUGGGAUUAGCUAGUGGGUGGGGUAAAGGCUCACCUAGGCGACGAUCUCUAGCUGGUCUGAGAGGAUGAUCAGCCACACUGGGACUGAGACACGGCCCAGACUCCUACGGGAGGCAGCAGUGGGGAAUAUUGCACAAUGGGCGAAAGCCUGAUGCAGCCAGGCCGCGUGUAUGAAGAAGGCCUUCGGGUUGUAAAGUACUUUCAGCGAGGAGGCGUUACUCGCAGAAGAAGCACCGGCUAACUCCGUGCCAGCAGCCGCGGUAAUUC
rnacentral:rRNA from 1 species